AACGAACGCUGGCGGCAUGCCUAAAAAAAGGAAGUUGAACGAGACAUUUGGGUCUAGUGGGGGAAGGGUGGGUAACGCGUGGGAAAAUGUGCUUAGGUUUGGAAUAACUCACAGAAAGGGGUGCUAAUAAACGAUAAUGUCUUCGGACCAAAGAUUUAUCGCCUUUGGAUGGGCCCGCGUUUGAUUAGCUAGUUGGUAGGGUAAAAGCCUACCAAGGCGACGCUCCAUAGCUAGUCUGAGAGGAUGAUCAGCCACACUGGGACUGAGACACGGCCCAGACUCCUACGGGAGGCAGCAGUGGGGAAUAUUGGACAAUGGGCGAAAGCCUGAUCCAGCAAUGCCACAUGCCUUCUUCCAACCUUAGUGUUGUAAAGCUCUUUUACCCUGGAUGAUAAUGACAGUACCGGGAGAAUAAGCUCCAACUCACUCCGUG
rnacentral:rRNA from 1 species